rnacentral:rRNA from 1 species
CACUAGUGAUUGUUUGAUCCUGGCUCAGAUUGAAACGCUGGCGGGCAUGCUUACACAUGCAAGUCGGACGGCAGCGCGGGAGCAAUCCUGGCGGCGAGUGGCGAACGGGUGAGUAAUACAUCGGAACAUGUCCAGUAGUGGGGGAUAGCCCGGCGAAAGCCGGAUUAAUACCGCAUACGAUCUAUGGAUGAAAGCGGGGGAUCGCAAGACCUCGCGCUAUUGGGGUGGCCGAUGGCGGAUUAGCUAGUUGGUGGGGUAAAGGCCUACCAAGGCGACGAUCCGUAGCUGGUCUGAGAGGACGACCAGCCACACUGGGACUGAGACGCGGCCCAGACUCCUACGGGAGGCAGCAGUGGGGAAUUUUGGACAAUGGGGGCAACCCUGAUCCAGCAAUGCCGCGUGUGUGAAGAAGGCCUUCGGGUUGUAAAGCACUUUUGUCCGGGAAGAAAUCCCCUGCCCUAAUACGGCGGGGGGAUGACGGUACCGGAAGAAUAAGCACCGGCUAACUACGUGCCAGCAGCCGCGGUAAUACGUAGGGUGCGAGCGUUAAUCGGAAUUACUGGGCGUAAAGCGUGCGCAGGCGGUGAUGUAAGACCGAUGUGGAAUCCCCGGGCUCAACCUGGGAACUGCAUUGGUGACUGCAUUGCUCGAGUAUGGCAGAGGGGGGUGGAAUUCCACGUGUAGCAGUGAAAUGCGUAGAGAUGUGGAGGAACACCGAUGGCGAAGGCAGCCCCCUGGGCCAAUACUGACGCUCAUGCACGAAAGCGUGGGGAGCAAACAGGAUUAGAUACCCUGGUAGUCCACGCCCUAAACGAUGUCAACUGGUUGUCGGGCCUUCAUUGGCUUGGUAACGUAGCUAACGCGUGAAGUGACCGC